rnacentral:rRNA from 1 species
GAUGAACGCUGGCGGCGUGCUUAACACAUGCAAGUCGAACGGGAUCCCAGGAGCUUGCUCCUGGGUGAGAGUGGCGAACGGGUGAGUAAUGCGUGACCGACCUGCCCCAUACACCGGAAUAGCUCCUGGAAACGGGUGGUAAUGCCGGAUGCUCCAGUUGGAUGCAUGUCCUUCUGGGAAAGAUUCAUCGGUAUGGGAUGGGGUCGCGUCCUAUCAGGUAGUCGGCGGGGUAACGGCCCACCGAGCCUACGACGGGUAGCCGGCCUGAGAGGGCGACCGGCCACAUUGGGACUGAGAUACGGCCCAGACUCCUACGGGAGGCAGCAGUGGGGAAUAUUGCACAAUGGGCGCAAGCCUGAUGCAGCGACGCCGCGUGCGGGAUGACGGCCUUCGGGUUGUAAACCGCUUUUGACUGGGAGCAAGCCCUUCGGGGUGAGUGUACCUUUCGAAUAAGCACCGGCU